CAAAUCUUUUGCGAGUGCUGCGUGCGUAACUGUGCGUAGCAUCUCACAACAUUAGCACAAGGUCGCAAGGCCUUGAUGUUUACGCUUGUUUGUUUGACAGAGUUAGUUGAGACAAUAAAAAGA
rnacentral:misc_RNA from 1 species